UUCAGAGGUCCCGAGCGUUGUUCGGAUUUACUGGGCGUAAAGGGAGCGUAGGCGGUUCGGUAUGUCGAAUGUGAAAGCCCACAACUCAACUGUGGAAAUGCAUUCGAAACUGCCGGGCUAGAGUACUGGAGAGGAGAGCGGAAUUCUUGGUGUAGCGGUGAAAUGCGUAGAUAUCAAGAGGAACACCGGUGGCGAAGGCGGCUCUCUGGACAGAUACUGACGCUGAGGCUCUAAAGUUAGGGGAGCAAACAGGAUUAGAUACCCCGGUAGU
rnacentral:rRNA from 1 species